UCCUUGGUUUGUGGACAGAACGGCACGUACUUGAAUGACACUUGGAGGGAUGGAGAAGCAGCAAUAUUUCACUAUUUUCUGACUAAACAACUAUUUCAGUCAUUUAGAAAACUAGAGGCGGCUCCCAGAGAAGGUAAACCUCCACCAAGGCUGCUCAGUCAGUCCCCUCAAGUAGUGAUGUGCGCCCGGAUCAUCAUUAAAAUCCACUCAUCCUCGUGAACCUGAUUUCUUGAAAAUCAUCACAACCUUUACCAAACAAAGAACAAGAAAUAACCCAAAAGCAGAAAUAGAUUUCAUAAGGAUAUAACUUGAUGGACUCGUGGGUUUAGUGUGUGCGAAUAAUUGGUGUUCAAACUAAUGUAACCUUUGUGGGCAUGCUUGCAAUUUAGUUAUUAUCAAGGUUUUCAUGAGGUGUUUACAUGGUUUUGCCAGCUCCUCAUUUCUUACUGAUAAUUUUUGUGAUAUUUUUGCAGCAUUGCUCUUACAGUGGCUGGUUGUGUUUUUUUUUUUCUUCCCCCCUCAUCAGGUCAAGUGCACACACUGCAUAAUGCAGAACAACUCCACAGAGAGCUGAGAGUUGUGAACCCAAUUUUGCAGACACCCUAAUUUAAAGGACAGGGAGACAAGAUGAUUCUGUGGGACUUGCUCUGUUUGUUGUGGAGAUUGCUUUAGAGGCAGAGGGCAUUGUGUGGAGAUAAUAGUGAGGUAGGGGGGAAAAAAAGAAGCUUUGAGCAGAACUGGUUCCACUUUACACUAUUAGGGUCAGUGGUCGAAAUAGGUCCACGGCCUCCGGGUCCCUGUAACACAGAUCAAGGGUCCCAAUGUAUAUCUGCAGAUUACAUCUCCUGAAGUGGAAAAAAAUGCAAAUAAUAAAUGUAUGAGCAACGUGCUUGUUUUUUUGCUUGAUUAAUUAUGCCGUUUAAUUCCAGAUCCACCAUGCCGCUCCACCGUAUAAUUUCCCAGUGGUCUUGGCUGUUUCUUCUCUCACAUGCGCUCUCCCCUCUUUUUUUCCUCCUCAUUGCAAAAUGAAUCAUGGAUCCGACCGUCUGUACCCGGGGGACAGCAGCGAGCUGUCGAAUGGGCUGACCAAUCAUGAGCAUCAGAGGCAUACACAGAUGGAGGCAGUCUUUUGUUGUGCACCGCACUCAUCAAGUUAGAAGACAACUGCCGAAUUGGCCUGAAGAAAAUUAAAAGAUGGAACAUCUUAUCCAAUCAGGCUGGUCAGCGUGUGUUGGUGUGAGUGGGUGGCAGGAUUUCAGUGCCAUUCAUGAUGUCAAGUGGGACCAUGGCCGCUCCUCUAUUCCCAGCCUGGCCAACCCUCUCUCAGCCUCCUGACAGUUUCAGGUGCCGUGGCUCCAUGGAAGACCUGUGUGGUGUUCUCUCCGGGAUCGCUGAUUCUGAACGGGGGACAGCGAAGGCCCAGAAUGAUGCCAGAGUAUUAUUUGUCCCUGGUGAAUGGAGCUGUCUCACGACAUCUAACUCUUCCCCCCCUGUGCACUGCAGGAUUUUGCCGGCAGUCGAACAAAUCUGAGUCACAGUUUACGUUCGAAUGUGAUGGAAUCUCCCACUUGUUUCAGUCAUCCUCCCUCGCUCCCUCUCCUCCAUCUCUCUCUCUCUCUCUCUCCCUCUUUUGCGCCGGCUGCUAAUCAGCAUUUGAAAGGCAGCUUUGACAGUGAGAAAGAAAGUGAGGGGGGCACGGAGGGGUGGGGGUAAACGAAAGCAUGAGACACAGCGAGUUAGGGAGGGAGAGCCGGAGAGAGACUGAGGCGAGGGGCUGUACAAGCAUGCCUUUUAUAUUUACUAGUGACUGAGAGAGAGAGAGAGAGGGAGAGAGGGAGCAGCUGAAGGCAGAGACAACUGGUGUGCACGGCUUUCCCAAGAGGAAAUGAAAAGAAAGAAGCUCAGCGAGGAGAGUGAAUGAGUGAGCGGGAGAGAGGAAGGGUGGGAGGGAGUAUGUCUGCUGGAGAGAGAGGGAGAGAGAGAGAGAGUGAGGGCGAAAAAGAGAUUCUCACACUGGCUGUGUCCUAAUCCGAGUCCAUCUCCAAGAAGCAGCGGAGCAGAGUGUUAGUGAAGUGAGUCUGAGAGCCAAGGAGAGCUACAUCAUACACACACUUACACCCACACACACACACACACACAAUGUCUCUCACUCUCUGUCACACACACACACUCUUGCUGCGGGGGUCCGCGAUGUGUCCAGCAGUGUGGACGCGGCUUUUGUGAAAGUGAGGGGGAUUUGACGCUGCCCCGUCCCGGCCACCUUGGCUCACACACAGACACACGGUAUUUGUUUGCUGUGUUUAAGCUCGAGGUGCUGCUGGUGGA